UGGUAAAAAAAAGUGAUAAAGUUGGUCUUGCAUAAUUCCAAAGUAGAUUUUGGCAGCCGAGGUGGUGUCUUCAUAAGCCUUACUUGCUUUCUUUGUCAGCUAAUGUCA